UACGGGGGGGGCAAGCGUUGUUCGGAAUUACUGGGCGUAAAGGGCUCGUAGGCGGCCAACUAAGUCAGACGUGAAAUCCCCAGGCUUAACCUGGGAACUGCGUCUGAUACUGGAUGGCUUGAAUUCGGGAGAGGGAUGCAGAAUUCCAGGUGUAGCGGUGAAAUGCGUAGAGAUCAGGAGGAACACCCGUGGCGAAGGCGGCCCUCUGGCUCGACCCUGACGCUGAGAGGCGAAAGCGUGGGGAGCGAACGGG
rnacentral:rRNA from 1 species